rnacentral:siRNA from 1 species
CGAAAUGCGAUACUUGGUGUGAA